CCUACAUCAAAUGUGGUAGCUU
rnacentral:siRNA from 1 species